rnacentral:lncRNA from 1 species
UGCUGAGGAUCAAACCCAGUGCCUCAUACAUGCUAUAGGCAAGCGCUCUACCACUGAGCCACUACCUCAGGCGCGAUAGGUCUGGUUUGGAUCCUGCUCAGCAGGGUGGACCCCAACAAUCAUUUUUUUUUAAUAUUUAUUGUUUAGUUUUCGGCAGACAAAACAUCUUUAUUUGUAUGUGGUGCUGAGGAUCGAACCCAGCGCUGCACGUAUGCCAGGCGAGCACGCUACCGUUUCAGCCACAUCCCUAGCCCCCAACAAUCAUUUUUUUCCCCAGGCGUGUACCCAACAUAACCUGGAUGAGGACUUAGGCCUCAUAGAUCAGCAAUUGCAAACUUUAGUCUGAAUCAGAAUUACCUGAAAGGUUUUUUAAAACAUUGCCGAGGGCCCGGGGUAUAACUCAGUGAAAGAGCACUUUUAUAGCAUGUGCAAAACCCUGGGUUCAACCCCCAGUAUCCCACAUACGAAAAAAAACAGAUUGCUUGGCAUCCACUCAAAGAGCCUGAUUCUCUAGGCAUGGGAUGGGGACUAGAAUUUGCAUUUCCAACAGUUUCCAGAUGGGGCUGAUGGGUCCAUGCUUUGACAACUACCAUAGCUUUUGAGUUUCUGUGAAUUUGACUAAUGUUACUCUCGAAGGGUAUAUUCUUAUGACUAUUUUGCAGAACAAAUAAAUGAGCAUUAGGGCUGG